rnacentral:tRNA from 1 species
UGGAUAUAGCUCAGUUGGUAGAGUGCUUGCCUCCCAUGCACAAGGCCUUGGGUUUAAUCCCCAGCACCAA